rnacentral:rRNA from 1 species
GAAUUCGCCCUUAGAGUUUGAUUCUGGCUCAGGAUAAACGCUGGCGGCGUGCUUAACACAUGCAAGUCGAACGAAGUUUUUCUUUCGGGAGAAACUUAGUGGCGGACGGGUGAGUAACGCGUGGGUAACCUGCCCUGUACAGGGGGACAACAGCUGGAAACGGCUGCUAAUACCGCAUAAGCCCUUAGCACUGCAUGGUGCAUAGGGAAAAGGAGUAAUCCGGUACAGGAUGGACCCGCGUCUGAUUAGCCAGUUGGCAGGGUAACGGCCUACCAAAGCGACGAUCAGUAGCCGAUCUGAGAGGAUGUACGGCCACAUUGGGACUGAGACACGGCCCAGACUCCUACGGGAGGCAGCAGUGGGGAAUAUUGCACAAUGGGGGAAACCCUGAUGCAGCGACGCCGCGUGAGGGAAGACGGUCCUCUGGAUUGUAAACCUCUGUCUUCGGGGACGAAACGAGACGGUACCCGAGGAGGAAGCCACGGCUAACUACGUGCCAGCAGCCGCGGUAAUACGUAGGUGGCAAGCGUUGUCCGGAAUUACUGGGUGUAAAGGGAGCGUAGGCGGGCAGGCAAGUCAGGCGUGAAAUAUAUCGGCUCAACCGGUAUCUGCGCUUGAAACUGCAGGUCUUGAGUGAAGUAGAGGUUGGCGGAAUUCCUAGUGUAGCGGUGAAAUGCGUAGAUAUUAGGAGGAACACCAGUGGCGAAGGCGGCCAACUGGGCUUUUACUGACGCUGAGGCUCGAAAGUGUGGGGAGCAAACAGGAUUAGAUACCCUGGUAGUCCACACCGUAAACGAUCAUUACUAGGUGUGGGGGGGA